rnacentral:lncRNA from 10 species
UGAGGACCAAGAACCCUGGUGUUCCUCCACUCAUCGGAGCCGUAUCAUUUUGGUGCAUUGGCCAGGAAAGGAAAUUCAAUCAUGAGACUGGACCUUUGGCAAGUAAAGGGAGACUUAGGCUGGUUUUCUGAUGACCUUAAUAAGUAUAUGGAAGCUUUCCAAUAUUUAACUCAGGUAUGUAACCUCUCAUGAAGGGAUGUUAUGUUGCUGCUAAGGCAAACCCUUACUGUAGGUAAAAUAAGCAGCUCUGCAAGCAGAAGAAAAUUUUGGAGAUAAGUAAUGUCUCCUAUAGAAGGCCAAAAGGGAAAAGAAAAAAAUAGGGAAGGCAAAGGGGAAACACCAUUCCCAAUAGGAAAAGAGGCAAGGGUACCGGAACAACCCACAUGUAAAUAAUCAGUUGAAUCCUGAACAUGAGACA